UGCGUGCGUGAUGGCAUGUUAGGCAUGCGC
rnacentral:sRNA from 1 species